CACAAGCGGUGGAGCAUGUGGUUAAUUCGAAGCAACGCGAAGACCUUACCAGGGCUUGACAUCCCCUGACCGCGUAUGAAAGUACGUUUUCACCCUCGGGUGACAGGGAGACAGGUGGUGCAUGGUUGUCGUCAGCUCGUGUCGUGAGAUGUUGGGUUAAGUCCCGCAACGAGCGCAACCCCUACGUUUAGUUGCUAACAGGUGAAGCUGAGCACUCUAGACGAACUGCCGUUGACAAAACGGAGGAAGGUGGGAUGACGUCAAAUCAUCAUGCCCCUUAUGUUCUGGGCUACACACGUGCUACAAUGGCCGGUACAGACGGAGGCGAAGCCGCGAGGCGGAGCAAAUCCGAAAAAGCCGGUCUCAGUUCGGAUUGCAGGCUGCAAUUCGCCUGCAUGAAGUCGGAAUCGCUAGUAAUCGCAGGUCAGCAUACUGCGGUGAAUACGUUCCCGGGCCUU
rnacentral:rRNA from 1 species